rnacentral:rRNA from 1 species
UACCCGCAGCACAAGUGGUGGUCAUUAUUAUUGGGCCUAAAGCGUCCGUAGCUGGCUUGUUAGAUGCCUGGGUAAAUCGAUGCGCUCAACGCAUCGAACUCCGGGGUAGAUCGGCAAGCUUGGGACCGGGAGAGGCGUGAGCUACUCGAGGGGUAGGGGUAAAAUCCUGUAAUCCUUCGGGGAGGACCAGUGGCGAAGGCGUCACGCUAGAACGGCUCCGACAGUGAGGGACGAAGCCCUGGGGCGCAAACCGGG